GACACCUCACGUGACGGGAAAAGGGGUGGGGAGGGAAAAAAGGUAGCCGGCAGGGGCUGAAGGUGCAGCGGCCAUCUUUACUGUCGUCACGAUGCUGCUUCGGAGGAAGCAAGUACCGUACCGUGGAUUCAUUUCCCUGCUGCUCCUGGCGAUGCAGCGUGGUUUAGGCGAUGAGACCCAUGUUCUGUAAGAGAGCUCAGGCCCUUAUAUAAGUGUGGGGGAUUUGGCUCAUAUGUGAUGCUCAGCUUCAGUUUGCUGCGGAAUUUGCAGAUAGGUUUUUUUGAUACACUGGCGGCUGCGGGCGGCGAAGACCUAGAUAUUCAGGGUUAAGAGCGGGGAAGGGAGCUUAAUAUCCUGCUAAGGUUUUGUUGUUUUGUAGACCCGCCCCACUUGCUUUCAAAGUAAUAUAUCUUGUGCCCUCAAGCUUUCCCAACGUCAGGGUCUUUUCCAGGGAGUCUUCUCUUCUCAUGAGGUGGCCAAAGUAUUGGAGCCUCAGCUUCACGAUCUGUCCUUCCAGUGAGCACUCAGGGCUGAUUUCCUUAAGAAUGGAGAGGUUUGAUCUUCUAGCAGUCCAUGGGACUCUCAAGAAUUUCCUCCAACACCAUAAUUCAAAAGCAUCAAUUCUUCGCCGAUCAGCCUUCUUUAUGGUCCGGCGCUCACUUCCAUACAUCACUACUGGGAAAACCAUAGGUUUAACUAUACGGACCUUUGUUGGCAAAGUGAUGUCUCUGCUUUUUAAGAUGCUGUCUAGGUUUGUCAUUGCUUUUCUCCCAAGAAGCAGUAUAUGUAUAUGUAUAUACAUGCGUUGCACAUUCGCAUGCUCAGGGCACUUCACGCACAUUACAAUCCUACGAUAAAAGGUAUAUCAAUUUUUAUUAUUUUCAGAUAUUGGAGUUAGGGCUGUGAGAUUCGAAUCAGUGCUUUCAAGCCGGUACACCCAUACUUGGGAGGAAGCUCCACUGACCACCGCGAGAACAGGAUGCUGGACUAGAUGAGCCACUGCACUAGCCUGAUCUUAUAAACUUAGUGGGACUUACUUCUGAGUAGACUAGCCUAGGAUGGUGCUUUUAACCAUUAUGCUCAGCGAAUGGGAUUUCUUGCCUUGCUCUAUAGUUCCACCCAACCCCCAGAAGUAUGAUCUCAGGAGAUAUUUCCUUUUAACUUCCACAAGCAUAGGCACACUUCAACUAACUGUAAAAUGAAUUGCAGUCUUGUGGCUACUCCCACUGAAUUUAAUGGGGCUUAGUUACAUGUACGCUUGCAUUGUGGUUACUGAAUUACAGUACAUGUAUUCCUUUUGGAAAUUUAUCUGCUUGUGUAUUUAUAGGUUCUUUUUCAAAACAUAAUUCUCGUGGAUUAUGUUAUUCUCUUCCCUCUUACUUUCCUGUCAAUCAUUCAUUUUGCUUCCACACAGAAUAAGUAAAAAAAUAAGAGGGGGGCAUCUCAUUGUCUUUAGAGAUUUUCUUGUACUCAGGUCUUGUUCUGAGUGAGGCACUUAUAAUCAAACCCUUAAAAAGAAAAGGCUGGCACCUGCAAUUUCCAACGCCACCAGUACAGCCCAUUUUGCAGGCAAAGAGGUUUAUGACUGCUGCAGUGCUGUCCAUUAUUAUUAGUACAGGUUAGGUGAGGCAGAGGCUGGUUUGGAUUUCCAGCCAAAAGUUUUCCAAAUAAACUACUCAUAUUGCAAAAAAAAUGUCAUGUUCUUUAUAUUGCCCCUGCCAGCCCAAAUCCAGCACUCAAAUGUACACAAAAAUGUUGUGCUCUAUUAACUUGCAUGCAGCCAACCUGCACUUUUAAAUGUUUACAAGUACCACAAAAUCAAAAUUGCCCAAGGCUGCAGCCCUAUGUACACUUGCUAGAGAGUAAGCACCCUUUAACUUAGUGAGACUGCUGAGUAACAUGCAUAAGACUAGGCUGGUAGUUAAAAAACUUAAGGGAUAGCCAAACCAUAACCGUUGGUAAUCUGUAAAGAACUCCCUCCUUUGACAAUUCCACUGAUGCUGCUGAGUUGGGCUACAAUUCUUACCAUACGUGAAUCCCAUAGGAUUUACUUCUGAGUUGUUAGGCACUGUUUGUUAACUAGCUGAUGAAUCAGUGUGUUUCAGAUAUGUUGUUGCAUACACCAGAUAGUGAGAGUCAAGUACAUUAGCCAAAGCUGUUUAAAAGAACCUGUUAGUCUUUCCCUGUGAUUGAGCUUCCUAAAGUUCUUUUAUCAACAUAGGGCAGCUAUUACAGGUGCUUCCAGUGAUCUAAGAUGCUAACUUUCCAUAGCUGCCAUGUGAUGCAAAACACCAUAUAAAAACAUGCAUUAAACACACAAAGGUUCUUUAUUGGAUACUAGCAGCCUUAUACCUGAUGCUGCUCAGGAAUUCCAAGAAACAAAAAAAUUAAUGCAGUUUUGAAGUCAGUCAUUAAAAUCAGUGCAGCUUGGAAAGGGUUAAGGGUUAAUAUUGUUUCAAAAUGGUGCCCAAUUAUAUCUAAACAAACAAAAUCCUGAUUCUGGAUCUCAGGAAUCAUAAUGCAAAAUUUGGUUAUGGUAACUGAAGAGGUGUCCAAAUGCAUAUCAAACAGACAACCCCCUUUCCAAAAUAAACAGUAGAUGCUGUACAUUUUUUUAUUUAUGGGAAGGAUGGGAAACCUAUAAACAUGCAAUGGUCUACUUGUUUUAGGGUUGCUUAUUAGCCUGCCCUGGGAUCAACUUUGGAGGUUUUCUGUAGGUGUUCAACAAAUGAGAUACAGCAGAUGGGAAUUGGGGAAAGAGCCCUCUCAGUGAUUGUGCCUCAUCUGUGAAAUGGGAGCAUCCAGGGAGGUUUCUUUUGACAUCAAGCACAGGCUUCCUAUGUUAUCCCCCAUCCCCCCAUCCUUUAAGAACUUUAAACUCUUAGCAAAUUAGUUUGUGUGCUGUUUUUAAUUUGUAUCUGCUAUGUUCUCAUCUUUUAUUGCAUAUAAGCUUUCCUUCUAAAUUUUAGUUGUAGCUGCAUAACAAUCUAUUCUCUAUGAAACAUGGAUUAAGCCAAUAGUUAACAUUCAGGUAGAUAUUGGGGGCCCAGGAAUUUAUGUCCUUUCCCAUGCAUCUAAUAAAAAGUCACUUU